rnacentral:lncRNA from 1 species
CUAAUUAUUUGGAUUAUGGAUGGCCUACGUGACAACUUCCAAAUGGUUUAUUGGUUGUGGCAAGGAUUAUUCUAGUUGAGAAGGGUUGUGAACCAUUUGAUCAGAUAGAUUCAUUCUUGGAUUAUCAAUCCAAUUGACUUGGCUGUCGGUUCAUUGUAGCUUUUAUGUGCUUUUCAUUCUUGGUCUCUUCAAUUUUUCUCUCUAGUUUUUUGUCUGUAUGCGAUCUUCUUCUUCUUCCCUUUUGGUUAAAGUCUUCUCUAUUUAAUCCUUGUUUGAGAUCGAUUCUUGAAAAACUAUCCUGCUACAGUAACUCUAGGCUUGGUUAAGCAUGUGAUUUAUUUAUUUUUUGAGUCAUGAUUGGUCAGGGUUGAUUAUUCGAAAGGUUUUGUUGUGGUUUUGAGGAUCCAUGUGGAUUGUUGAUCAAAAGUGGUUUUCUGAGUGAUUUGAUAUACACGAUACUCUCUUUUGGAUGGCAAAUUUACACAGGUGGAACGGGCUCCAGUCCCUAAGCCCUCAAGGCUAGGCCGAUUGGCUAAAUAGGGUCAACAUUUUUGGUGUUCUUGUCUUUAUUAUUCAAUUAUGCUUUGAGAUUCUUGUUUAUUUUUGUUUUGUCAAUUAUAUUUCAUCAAGAAAUCCCAACUGGUCACAUGAAAAUCUGUUGUCACCAUUUUUGAAGCGUGAGCAUGUAGAACAGAAGCUGCUUACAACAACUGUUAGCCUAAGUCUUAACACCCAAACCUGGAUAAAGU